rnacentral:rRNA from 1 species
UACGUAGGUGGCAAGCGUUGUCCGGAUUUACUGGGCGUAAAGGGCGUGCAGGCGGUUUGUUAAGUGCAGGGUGAAAGCUCCCGGCUCAACUGGGAGAGGUCCUUGCAUACUGGCAAACUCGAGGGAGGCAGAGGAAAGUGGAAUUCCCGGUGUAGUGGUGAUAUGCGUAGAUAUCGGGAGGAACACCUGUGGCGAAGGCGGCUUUCUGAGCCUUACCUGACGCUGAGACGCGAAAGCGUGGGGAGCGAACCGG